ACCAAGUUUCUUUAAACAUCAGAUACUAAUUCUUAUUAAGGAUUCAGUCCAUGACAAGCGUAAAUCAUCGGGUAUUAAAAAAAUCAAAACAAAACAAACAAGCAUCUUCAUUUUUAAAAAGGGACGUGCAUUUCAUACUGUUGAAAAAUUUAAGAACAGCUCAAAUGACUUUUUUCUGAACAUUCCAGAAACAUCCACCAAUUGACUGAGAGUAGAAAAAUUUCAGCCCACAGGAACACCGUAAGAAUGUAACAGGGUUAAAUUUGAUGCACACAUGGCAGUCCCACUGAAGUCAGUAGGUGCCUUGUGUAAGCUUCCAAAGGCAGAAUGUAGGGCUUAGAUUGAAAUAGUUCUUAACUUAUAUUUACCAUAGAUGUGAUGUCACCCUAAUGGAGGAACCUGGGAGUCUACAAUCCAAUUUCUUUAGACUCACAGGGUAUGGCUAUGCUGCAGCUGAGAGCAUGCCUCCCAGUUCAGGUAGACUGACACAAGCUAGCUCUGCUUGAGCUAGUGCGCUAAAAAUAGCAGUGUAGAUGUUGCAGUACAGGCUUUAGCCACCCAGGUAUGCUAUUUUUAGCUCUCUGGUUCAAAUAGAUCUAGCGUGUCUCUCUACCCUUGGCUGGUAGGCACACUCCCAGCUGCAGCGUAGACAUAUCCUCAGGGACCUGGUUGCUGUCUUAAAGUUUUGUUAAAAUGCAGUGGUGGUUACUGUUAAACUGUAUACCCUUCAGCAAAACCUUUGCAGUUCACCCUUAGUAGCAGCAGAAGCUGUUUCCAUUUAAGAAAAUGUAGCCACUCUCUGAAAUAAAGUUUACCUAAAUCUCUUUGCUAGUUGUACAUAUAUUUUGAAUGCUGAUAUGUAUGUGGCUAUGAGUAAGUCUAUGAGACUUAAUAACAGUAGAACACCCAAACUUAAUUUACCAUUCUUGCAUUGCUGAAGUAUGUUUAUUUUCAUGUAACAUCACUAAAUUUCUUUUGGUUUACUGGAUGCUUGGUAAAAUGCCACACUGUUAUGACAAUCGUAAAUAAAGAUAAAACACUAAAAUAAUGUUAUUUCAAAAAUACAGCCAAAAAAAUCUCUGGGAAUACUUCAGGAAAAUUGGUUACAUAUUUUGUCGAACCUUGUUUGAUCCUGCUAACAUGAAAAUAUUGUCAGCACUGAUUUGUUUGCUAUAACAUGUUGAGUCUUCAGAAACAGUGUCAGGUUGUGUUUAAAAUACUUUUUGCUGUGCAGUAAACUAAAUAAGCUAUUUUGAAAAAUAUUGCUCUAAUGAAUAAACAAAAUGUUUAUUCUCAAAGUCCUUCUCAAGGACUAGGUAAACUAAGAACACAUUGAUACUUAAUACGUAUCAUGUUUCAGGUAAUUCAAGGCAAAUGCAACUAAUCAGUUGUGCGCAUGCGGGUUUUUUUGUUUUUUGUUUUUAAAUGUGCCAAUAUAAGUGAGUAUGGGUUUGAGAUUUUACAGAACAAUCAGAUCACAAUCAAGAGGAAACCCAACUUUAAAAAAAAAGAAGAGAAGUUGAGAUUUCAUUUGACUUCAGUGUGAACUAUGACAACUCCUUUUUGCUUUUGGCAUUACAUCAGAAAUACUCCUUGUGGCAAAAAGUGAAUGUCUGUUUUAAUUUUAAAAAUAUUGUUGCCAUGGGGAGGUAGAAGACCUACCUGAAAAACUGGGAUCUGAAAAGAAGCUCCUCCAGGAUUACCAUGUGAUGAAAAAUAUUGAGCUAGAAAGACAACGAUGCUGAUGAAAUUUCAGAUUACUACUUACACUACUACUGCUGUGGGAACCAAUUCUUUACAUCCACUUUAAGUCUUUAAUUGUUUUUACCUGUUCGUGUUCCUAGACCUUUUUCCAUUUUAAUUAAAAAUGCUACCUUUUGAUCUUUC